rnacentral:lncRNA from 1 species
UCAAUAAUUCAGGGGGAGCAUGCUCAUAAGGGUAAAAUAGAAUAUUGACUAGACAUGAGUUAAAACAUAUAUGCCAUCGACAAAGGGGGAGAAUGUAGAAUCAAAAUUGUCGACAUAGGAUUAUAUUUUAAUCAUGUCAAUUUAAACCCUAAUUACACUAUUAAUCAAUAGGGGUUAAAUAAAUCAAUCGAUAUUAAACCUAACUCUAGUUAAUUAAUUAAUCAUUUGAGUUAAGGGUUUAAGUCAAAGUUAAAAGUCAAAUUGGGAGAAUUGCAUUUUCACCUUGAAUAUUAUUAUUUGGAAUAAUUGCAUUUUUACCUUGAAUAUUAUUAUUAUUAUCUUUUGACACUUUAUUCAAGGUAUAAUAUUCCAAGGGGACAAAACACUAUUCAAGUUUGAAUUUAUACAAAGAUAAGAUUCUCCAACAAACUCUAUCCAAGAAAAGCACUAUUCAAGAUAAGAUCAAAGACAAAACUUGGAUUUUUGUGAGAAAUCAAGGAGCCAUCCAUUGAAGAUCCAAGGGUGGACAUUGAGUGGCCAAGGCUAUAAAUAGAAGGGUAAUCCCCUCAUUUUCACUCACCACACUACAAGCAAACUCAAGAGCUUUCACUCCACACUUGCCCACACGUUUUUGCCUCCAAGCUUCCAAGCUUUCAAGUGCUCAAGUGUCCUAGAUUUCCAAAGCUUCAAAAGCUCUCCAACUUCUUCUUCUAAUCUUCUUGUUCAUCUUUACAAGUAAGAACUGUGGUUUGCUUUAAUAUUCCACUCCUCUAAUCACCUCUUGUGUGUGUCCACUUUGGUUGAGAGGGUUGUCUCAAUAGUACCAAAGUGUGAGAGAAGGUUUUCGAGCUCAACCAUAAAGCUCUAAUUUGGUUUUAUAGAGUUUCUAGGAAAACUCUUAGGUCGAAUCUAUCUUGAAAGAUUUCUAGGUUUUUAAGAGUUCCUUGAUACUCUAAGGUACUAACUUACCCGUAAAAGUUAGAGGUUCUUAAGAGUGCCCUCGAUACUGUAAGGUGUGAGUCUACCCGUAAAAGACUGGUUCCUAAGCGAAGUAGCCUUAAAGCUUAGAGAGGUUUUUAAGAGUUCCUUGAUACUCUAAGGUACUAAACCGCAAAAGUUAGAGGUUAUUAAGAGUGCCCUUGAUACUCUAAGGUGUGAGUCUACCCGUAAAAGACUGGUUCCUAAGCGAAGUAGCCUUAAAGCUUAGAGAGGUUCUUAAGAGUUUCCUUGAUACUCUAAGGUUUUGCCAUAACCUUUAGGCGAGUGAAUUCCGACAGUUGGUCGGGACUGGAUUAGCCCUUGUUUGGGUGAACCAGUAUAAAUCUCUUGUGUUGUUCUUUGUUAACUUUAGUUUUUAUCUUUCAUCUAAAAACAACUAAACAACACUUAAUUGAAAAGGAUCCCUCUUCCAGUUAUCUGGUCAAAUACAGAGGUUGACUACUUUACGUAGAUCCCUCAUCCAGUUAUCUGGUCAACUAUUUGAGGUUAUAU